AAACUGCGAUAAGUAAUACGAAUUGCAGAACCCUGUGAAUCAUCGAGAUUUUGAACGCACAGCGCUCAGGGCUCACGCCCUGGGCACAUCUGGUUGAGUGACAGUAAAUUCAUCGCUUUGCAAAAAAGCACUCUUGAAGAGGGCUCUUUGAAAAGGCGGCUUGUUGCGGAUGUGCAAGUUGGCACUACCGUUAAACAUCCAAGGCCAAUCGAGCUUGGUGGCUUAGGCACUUGAUAUUAAUUAAUCUCUCCUGCCUUCCAUCGCUCUUGACCGAUAAGCUUAACGAAAAGGGAUGCUUGCAUCCCAUUUUAACCAAUUUGUCCUCAGCUCAGGUGGGAUUACCCGCUGAACUUAA
rnacentral:misc_RNA from 1 species